rnacentral:rRNA from 1 species
AGCGAACGCUGGCGGCAGGCCUAACACAUGCAAGUCGAACGAACCUUUCGGGGUUAGUGGCGGACGGGUGAGUAACACGUGGGAACGUGCCUUUAGGUUCGGAAUAACUCAGGGAAACUUGUGCUAAUACCGAAUGUGCCCUUCGGGGGAAAGAUUAAUCGCCUUUAGAGCGGCCCGCGUCUGAUUAGCUAGUUGGUUGAGGUAAUGGCUCACCAAGGCGACGAUCAGUAGCUGGUCUGAGAGGAUGAUCAGCCACAUUGGGACUGAGACACGGCCCAAACCCCGGGGGGGGGCGGGGGGGGGGAAUGUUGCGGAAGGGGCGAGAGCCGGACGGGCCAGUGCCGGGGGAAGGAGGAGGGUUUGGGGGUGGAAAAAUUUUUGCCCGGGGGGGGAAAAGGGGGGGCCCGGGAGAAGAGGCCCGGGCUAACUUGGUG